GUUAGAAUGUAUUGUUAGCUUUUUCUACUGUAGGUGGCUAUUGUUAAGCGUAAAUUUGUUCGAAAGUUCCGCGUUUCUUUGAGAUUUUGAGAAAAAAUUGUGAUUAAGUAAACUUCAGUAAUGUACGGGAGGCAGAAAGAGCUCUCUGUGUCGCCUUUCUCUUAGGCCCGCUGGAGCUCGCUCGGACGAAGAGGAGAUCCGACGACAGACAGAGAACGCUCCCUGUGUCCCACAUCUUUAAGGCCCGUUCGGACAAAGAGGGAGACGGAGACAAAAGGCGGAGAAGGCUCCCUGUGUCCCGCAUCUUUAAGGCCCACUCGGAUGAAGACAAAAUACGGCGAGACUUAGAGGACUCUCUGUGUUUCGUUUCCUUAAGGUUUGCUCGAGUGAAGAGGCCGACCGGAGAUGGAGAAGGCUUUCUGUGUCCCACUUUAUUAAAUCACGCGCAUGGCGAACAAUUGAAACCAAUCGUCCAUCUUACUUUCCCGGCUUCUUGUGUAUGUAACACGGUAAAGUAUUGGAAUCGUAUCAACCUUGACUUUCCGAGAUUUUUGCCAAUUUCGACGAUUUCAACCUAGAAAAGCGAAAAGAAAUUCCUACAAUGAGUUGCGUGUGUUAUGUGGCUCGUGCCAUCUUUUAUGAGAUUUUGUUGUGAAAACAAUGUUUUUAUAUUAUAAGAUGACAAAAACCUUAAUUUUGAGGGUAGUGAUUGAUUUUAUAAAAACAAUCGUAAAUGCUAAUAACGAGUAAUCUUCGUUAAGUCAGAUCUCUCUUGAGAUCGCCCACUACAGUAUUUGGAUCUUUAUCAUCAUCAAUGCCCUUCAUAAUCAAGUUACCAAAUUUCAUGUUAUCAUCUUUAAUUUAUCCUGAGAUGUAAAAUGAAAUAGACGCCAACAUACGCACUGGCAUGCCACAUGCAUCCACAGAUAUCUUUCCCGUUAAUAGCAUUUUCAAUUUGUUUCUUUUAUAAAUCUCAUCCUCACUCUCAAAAUUAAGGUUGUUGCGAAGUAUACAGAAGUAUAACGCAAAAUUUAAAAAGCUAGGAACAAAGGAUUACUGCAUAGCAGUGUUUUCCAACCUUUUGGUCAUGUGACACUUAUAAAAUAUGGAAGUUGGAAAAAUUAAAGGCUUACGUAUAUUAUGAAAUAAUAUACGUUUGAUAUAAUACAAUUUUGACUACGUAAACGUUUAUUUGAGAACAAUAUUCCAUUUAUACUUGUACUGUAUAGUACAAUACUUAUAUACUAUUUAUACAACACAAUUUUAAAAUUGCACGAUACCUCUUUAAGCGAUACUGUGGCUGAAAAAUAUUGCUUUAUAGGUUAGUGCAAUUUGAUCUCCAAACUUUCUUGAUGGCGACCCCUACGACGAAAAUAAUUAUAAGUUGUACUCUGUAUAAAUCAUUUUGAUUAAGUAACACAAAAUAAAAACAUUGUGUUUUGACUGGUGCUGCAUACCUGUUAUUAAAUGUUUAAAAAUCUAUUGUUUUUGGGUACUCGAAUAC